CGGUGUUCAACUGGCGUGUCCGCGGGACGUCCUGCCGGUGGGCUUAGCCCGCAAGGGCGGCCCAACUUCAAAUCCCAUCGCGGUGCUCUUCACUGAGUGUCGAGGUGGGCCGGCACGUUUACUUUGAACAAAUUAGAGUGCUUAAAGCAGGCUAAAACUUCGCCUGAAUACUGUGUGCAUGGAAUAAUGGAAUAGGACCUCGGUUCUAUUUUGUUGGUUUUCGGAACCCCGAGGUAAUGAUUAAUAGGAACGGAUGGGGGCAUUCGUAUUGCGACGUUAGAGGUGAAAUUCUUGGAUCGUCGCAAGACGGACAGAAGCGAAAGCAUUUGCCAAAAACGCUUUCAUUGAUCAAGAACGAAAGUUAGAGGUUCGAAGGCGAUCAGAUACCGCCCUAGUUCUAACCAUAAACGAUGCCAGCUAGCGAUCCGUCGACGUUCCUCCGAUGACUCGACGGGCAGCUUCCGGGAAACCAAGGCUUUUGGGUUCCGGGGGAAGCAUGAUUGCAAAGCUGAAACUUAAAGGAAUUGACGGAAGGGCACCACCAGGAGUGGAGCCUGCGGCUUAAUUUGACUCAACACGGGAAACCUCACCAGGCCCGGACACCGGAAGGAUUGACAGAUUGAGAGCUCUUUCUUGAUUCGGUGGGUGGUGGUGCAUGGCCGUUCUUAGUUGGUGGAGCGAUUUGUCUGGUUAAUUCCGAUAACGAACGAGACUCUAGCCUGCUAACUAGGCGUAUUUUCGACAUCUCAAAGGUCCGUCGUCCCGGCCCUCGGGUCGUGGGCGUGCGCGAUUUUUACUGUCGGCGUACUAUCAAUUCUUCUUAGAGGGACAGGUGGCUUCUAGCCGCACGAGAUUGAGCAAUAACAGGUCUGUGAUG
rnacentral:rRNA from 1 species